GACGAACGCUGGCGGCGUGCUUAACACAUGCAAGUCGAGCGGUAAGGCCCUUUCGGGGGUACACGAGCGGCGAACGGGUGAGUAACACGUGGGUGACCUGCCCUUAGCUCUGGGAUAAGCCUGGGAAACUGGGUCUAAUACCGGAUAUGACUCCAUGACGCAUGUUGUGGGGUGGAAAGCCUUGUGCGGCUAGGGAUGGGCCCGCGGCCUAUCAGCUUGUUGGUGGGGUGAUGGCCACCAAGGCGACGACGGGUAGCCGGCCUGAGAGGGCGACCGGCCACACUGGGACUGAGACACGGCCCAGACUCCUACGGGAGGCAGCAGUGGGGAAUCUUGCGCAAUGGGCGAAAGCCUGACGCAGCGACGCCGCGUGGGGAUGACGGCCUCGGUGU
rnacentral:rRNA from 1 species